UACGGAGGGUGCGAGCGUUGUCCGGAAUCACUGGGCGUAAAGGGCGCGUAGGUGGCGCGGGCAGUCAACGGUGAAAGUUCGGGGCUCAACCCUGAAUCGGCCGUCGAUACUCCCGGGCUUGAGCACUGUAGAGGCAGAUGGAUUCCGGGUGUAGCGGUGGAAUGCGUAGAGAUCCGGAAGAACACCGGUGGCGAAGGCGGUCUGCUGGGCAGUAGCUGACACUGAGGCGCGACAGCGUGGGGAGCAAACAGG
rnacentral:rRNA from 1 species